rnacentral:siRNA from 1 species
CUGUGUGUCCCUCGGAAGUUUCAU